UAAAACCAUCAAUCAAUUUCCCUAUCCAUUUACAUUUGACCUCAAUAUUAUUUGAUGCAGUCUCCAUUACUGUACUUUCCAAAAGGACAUUUUUAUUGCAUAACAGUAUUGGUUUAGAUCUGCCUGAGAUAAACAGUAAUUGCCAUUUGUUAUGCAAGUUGUAAGUCAGAUUGCAAAGCUGCCUAGCACGUCACUGGCAAAUAACAGCAGUGUUAGCAUUGUACCUGACAUAAACAAAUACAUAUAUAAAUGAACUUUUGGACAGUACUUGAUGCAAUAUUUGAUGCAGAAAAACUAAAUCUGUCAGGAGUUUAGUUGAACAACUGUCAUCCCAACUGAACUUUAAACAGAAAACUGGAUUAAUAGGAAUUGUCAUAACAGCAGGCUAAAAGUAAUACCUCAAUCUUCGCUUUACAGUGAAAAAAGACUGAAGGAAGUACACAGGCCCCAAGAGCUGAAAAGGCAUGAAUGUUCCAGACUGCUGAAAAAUGAAAGAAGGCAUCCGAGGCAUCCGUACCACUGGGACAGCAUGCCUUCUCACACAGCAACUCACAGUGACGAUAUUUUCUACUGGGACAUUCUGUCGCGCUCUCUUUCUUAGAUCUUUGGUGUAGUGUCCAUACAGAGAGAUGUUUUUUUUUUUUUUUCUGCAGUGCAUCUUCAUCUGAAUCCUUCACUGUGAAGGAGAGCACUGGGUUCCAGACCUCCAAGACUCCCCCAAGAGGAAUCUCCUGCCCCCCUCUCUCUGAACUCCUCUCCCCACUUUUCCAAUCACACAGCAAGAUCUGUCUGCCCCACAGGGUCACUGAGGAAGAACAUCCUUUCAGGUCCUUUUAGACCGGGGUGGGCAAUUCCAGUCCUGGAGGUCUUGUUUUUUGUUCCAGCUGUACUCUAAAUUAAUUAAUUGGAUGAAUUAAGCAUCUAAUAAGCUCUUAAUUGGUCCAAUUAAGUAAUUUAGCAUACAAUUGGAACAAAAACUAGGAGGGACACUGGCCCUCCAGGAAUGGAAUUGCCCACCGCUGGUUUAGACUACUUUUCUGUAGUUUCAGAUCUCUAAUCCCUUUAACGGUCAGUUAAACAGCCCUCUAAGUCAAGACUUUGUUUCCCUUUCAAACAAUACUCAAUUUUCUCCCAUAUAAAAACAUACAUUAGUCCUUAAUCCUAUAGUACUUAAAUGUUAUUCAAUAUCUACCGGUACAAUAAAACAUAUUGGAAUAUAGUACUGUGUGGUAUAGUUUAUAUUCAUGUGAGAUGGAAAAGCCGAACAACUAUUCUUUCCUAAGGUAAAGCUAAUUGUAAGAGGCCUUUGAUGUCUUAAAAGUUAGUGAUUAAUUAUUGUUUAGUUAGUCCAGUAAAAGGUAUCACAUCUCCUUCUCUUUGUUUGUCAUCUCUGGACUGAUAUGGUUACCUUUUCAUCUAUCAACAGAUUACAUGAAUGCUGUUGUGGAUUUCCCCUGUUACUGUAAAUUACACACUAAAGUUUAUCGUAUGCAUUUCCUAUUCUAUGCUUUAUUAUUGUGUCCAUUCUUAUCACUCUUAGCUGUGGUCUAUCAUGAUUAUUUGCGCUUUGCCUUGACUGACCUUCUUCACAAAUGAGAGUCAGGUGUAGCUGGAGACGCUCCUCCUUCACACAGCUCCGCACAUGUGAACACUCAGACAGGCAUCAUUAAACGUUUAUUAGAUUAGCACCUGCAAGGUCUUAACGUCACCAGUUGCUGCCAUGCCAAGCUUUCACUGUGCAUUUUUCCAUGAUUUACUUAACUUUGCUGUGCUUUUAGUAUAGCACACAUAACUUUUAAAAGGAGUGGAACACCACUGUUUGUUUGAAUAAUAUGUAUGAUCAUUGCUUUUUUCCUGAAUGUGCCAGUACAGCAGAAUCAGCUUUGCUAUAUGCAAGGGUAGACAGUGGACUUCCACAGUAGGUUCCCCGAGAUGUUAAGCGUUAACAUGGCAGACCUCAAUGUCCAAUCUGAAAGAAAUCAAGCAAAACAGUGCUUUGUGUAUCAUCCACAUAAUGCUAUUAAGCUUUUCAAACUUGUAACAGAUCAAUGAAUGAUAAUAAACAGUAAUGUAGUGUCAGACAAAGUGUACCCCUCCAUGAAAUAUGGUGAAAAUCUAUUGACUUUUUUUCCCUUUUUUUACAAGACUAUCUUAAGUCAUCUUACAGGGGUGCAUGUUUUUCGUGUAAGUUAAUCUCUUGAUGUCUAGACUUGUGAAGUCACUUGUCAGGAAAGUGAAGGUACCUGAGGGACCUUCAUCAGGGUAUAAAUACAAUCCCAGCCUUUAUGAAGACCUUUUCCCAAAAAGAGCUAAAGCUGAGCCUUUGUGUAUACAACUGUCUCAUCAAUGAGCUAUGAUUGAUUUGUGGGAAGCGAGUUGAAGAACAUUUUAGAACUGAGUCCCAAGAGCAUGAACCCAUGCUUGACAAAUUAGUCAAUUUCCUGUCCGAAUGUAUACAUACCACUGUAAUAGCCUGGAGAAUCCCAUCUCGGGUAUACUCUUCUACUUUCGUCUUUGUAAUAUAUUUGAACUCAGCUGUAUUUAAAGGUGUAGUGUCUCAUAUGGUGUAAAAUGUCAAUUUGUAAACAAACCCUACUUUUUAAUAAAGAGUCACUAAUAUAUUUGUAGUCAAGCUAGCCGUUUCAUGUGAAAAACAUGUACAUGUCGAUGAGAUCUACUUUAGGAAUUCAGAAUUUUAUCACAGUGAAAAGGGAAGUUUUCUGACAGAAAUAAAGCUAUUGCAAUGAUAUACAUAUUGUAGUUAUUGCAGGAGGCAGAUGUCCAAUUAUUGUUCUGACUAGCUUCUUUCUGGUUUGUUUUGUUAUAAAUGAAUAUUCUCUCUGAAGUUCUGACUUUGCAUUUGUACUUGCUUUAUAGUAUAUUCUGUUUUGAAUACCAACAAAACCAUUUGGGCUACUUAUGAUUUAACAGUCAGCAAACUGCUGGAAUGUGUUUUAUCAUAAUCUGGGGGUAUAUGAACUCUGUCUUUCUGUAUUUCAUGCUAACAUUUUCACAUAAUGUAUCUAGACAUCUGCUAAUUAUAAGGAGUAUUUUGGUCUGUAUGUCACACAUUGUGUUUAUCCCUUGUUCAGUUGUAAAGAAAUGAGCAUAUAUGAAUACAUAUGUA